UCGUCUGAUCUCGGAAGCUAAGCAG
rnacentral:piRNA from 7 species